AACGAACGCUGGCGGCGCGUCUUAAACAUGCAAGUCGAACGGCAGGAAGGGGCUUGCCCCUUCUGAGAGUGGCGGACUGGUGAGUAACACGUGGGUGACAUACCUUUUAGUUGGGGAUAGCUAUUAGAAAUAGUAGGUAAUACCGAAUGUGACCGUACCUGUUAGAGGGGUACGAGGAAAGGAGCUAAGGCUUCGCUAAAAGAAUGGCUCGCGGCCCAUUAUGCUCGUUGGUGAGGUAACGGCCCACCAAGGCGAUGAUGGGUAUCCGGCCUGAGAGGGUGAACGGACACAUUGGGACUGAGAUACGGCCCAGACUUCUACGGGAGGCAGCAGUUAAGAAUAUUACGCAAUGGACGAAAGUCUGACGGAGCGACGCCGCGUGGAUGAAGAAUGCCGAAAGGUUGUAAAAUCCUUUUAAGCCUGAUGAAUAAGCACAGUAGGGAAUGAUUGUGCGGUGACCGUAGGGCUUGAAUAAGCACCGGCUAACUACGUG
rnacentral:rRNA from 1 species